ensembl:lncRNA
CUCUGGACUGUGAACUUCACAAGUGUUUCUUAGUUUUUUUCUCCUCCCUCCUCUUUAGGUGGGACAGGAUGGCUGGAGUGGGCUGGAGUUGGGUAUUUCCCUUCCUUCAGGUCAGUUAGGCUCUAAUAAUAUCCACCUGGUUAGGCUCUGUUAACUAGUUUCUCUUGAGGGCAGGCCUUAUUAAGAAGAGUGCUCUGGGAUGUUUAAAAAUGGUUCCUUUUCCUCUCUCCAUUCUAGACGUCUGAUGAGAUUUUUGUCAGCUAUUUACUGUGAGAACCUGGACGAGCUCCUGGAGGAAGAUCAAAGUGGUGUUUAGAGAAUGAUCAUGAAGUGAAUGCUGACUCCUUUCACGCCGUGACGAGUGUGAUGACUAAACAGGGGAGAAGACACUGAGUGCUGGGAGGGGCUGGCCCCGUGGCCGAGUGGUUAAGUUCGUGCGCUCCGCUGCAGGCGGCCCAGUGUUUCGUUGGUUCGAAUCCUGGGCGCGGACAUGGCACUGCUCAUCAGACCACGCUGAGGCAGCGUCCCACAUGCCACAACUAGAAGGAUCCACAACGAAGAAUAUACAACUAUGUACUGGGGGGCUUUGGGGAGAAAGAGGAAAAAAUAAAAAAAAUCUUUAAAAAAAAAAAAAAAUAUUUCUUUUCAUACUGCCAAGUUCAAUCAUCUGUUUUUUGAGAAUAUAAAUGUACAACCACAAUAAUGGAAGAGAGAAAGUGAAAAGUUUUGUUGAGAAGUAGAAGAUUUAUUUUCAGCUAGUACUUGUGCUACAAAUCUCCUGGGUUUAGGUUUUAAGUGUAGAAAUAUAAGUGAUGGUUGGGCUGCUACUGCUUUUGAAUACAUUACAGAGCAAACACUAUCCUUGGAAACUGAUGUUAUUGGAAAGUCGAUUUUAGAUAGUAAAUGACUUACCUCAGGUCACACAGCUAAGGAGUGGGUAAGCUGGAAUCUGAACCCAGGAACCCUGGCUGCUCUGGAGCGAUUGAUACCCAGGAUAUGGUGAAGAAAGCCACUAUUCCAAUUUCCAGUUCCAGUUCCCUUCACACCCAGAUGUGCUUUGUUUCUUAUCUUGGAUUUUGUGCGGGUGUAUGUUAUAUGAUACAGCCUCCUUUUGUUGACCUAAUUUAAAUACACUUACAUUUGUUUCAUCAAAAAUAGCCUUAAUGAGACCUGCCAAAUUUUACUUAAAAAAAAAGUUCUAAUGUACCCUCUAAUUGGAAUGCCUUUUCCACCAUAUUUAUCUGUUGAAAUUGUACUAAUACUUCAUGAUCUAGCUCAAGUACUGCUUAUUUGUGGCUUUUCUGAAUUCCAGCUCCAAAUUAGCAUUGUUUUUCCUCCUCUUUGUUCUUAGUGCACUUCUCAGUCUAUUCAAGGACUUGAGAAUUUCUAGUUUUGAUAUUGUAAGUUCUGUACAUAUUUUCCAUAAUAUUACUUUGAACCAUAUGAAAUUGUCAACCUUCAAGUAUUUUCAAUUUAGGAAAAUGGCAAUUUCAUGUGGUUCAAUUUAAUAUAUUGGAAGGAAACUGAUUGACCCAGAGGUAGCUUAAUGAUCUUUUCACCCUGAAUAUCUGGUAGAUAGUAAGGUCUCAAUAAAUUUUGAUGGAAUUAACUAUUUCUGAGGAAUAAAAUCUUAGUAACUUGGCAGAAUUUUCCCCAAAUAUUCUCCUGGGGAUAAUAAAGUGUUCAGUAGAAGAAAUCCACCAUUCUCCCUGUUUUCUACUUCUGACAUUGUGUCCAUUUCCCCUACCCCCCCCCAAAAAAACCCCUAAAAGUAGUUAUUCAGUGUUCUGUGUGUGGAUAACCAAAACUGGAGACUUUAAUUUGUCUGCACAAGAUAAAACAAGUUCACAUUUACUAAAAGUACAUUUAUAAGGAUUUUUGAACUGUUGUUUUCUAGUAGUGUCCUGGUAAAUGGGUCAGAUUAUUACAAAUAAACAAGGUCCCAGUCUCUGAAGUUUAUGGAAUAGUGAGGGACCGCAUAUAAGUGCAGUUCUUGGAAAGGUCAGAAGAAUGGCACUUAUCAUGGGAGAUUUCACAAAGAAGUGGCUGAGUAGGAGUUAGUCAGAACUGGAAGGAAUAUGGGGUGUUGUCUUGCAUAAUAUUAUAGGCAGAGUGAAUAAAGAGCUUAUGAAAGCUUGGGAGAGUUGCAAAUAGAACCAUGUAGAUAGAAUAUAUGGGAUGCAGGGUGAGUUGGGGGAAAUGACAAAGAGGAGUCACUUGAACAUUUUAUGUAGGGUAUUAACAUUGCCAGAUUUGUGCUUUCUAAAGGUAAAAAAGAAAUGAGAAUGUAGAAACUGCUGAGUUAAAUGAACUGACCACUCUGACUAUAUUGCAAAGAAGGAUGAAAAGAGAGCUAGGGAGACCAGGUAGGUGAUUACUGCUAUGAUCUGAGCAAGGGCGAUGAGGAUCUUGAAUAAAGAUGUGGUCACUGAAACCAUUUGGAAAGUGGAUUCAAAUAAUAUAGGAAAGUAGAAUUGAUAGGAAUUGGAGAUCACUCAGAGUCUGGGAGUAAUCCCAUUUUUUGUUUUCUGCCAAUUAUAUCUAAGUAAUUUUUUUAUUUAAAAUAGGCAUGGAUCAUUUUGAGGUCAACUUAGUUGUGAAUGAUCCUUGCAACAAAGUCUUCUGUGAACUGAAUACUUUAUUCAAAAUAUGUAUACGUAGCCCAGAAUAAAUUGUUGCUUCUCCGGAGGCACUCUUGAAUGAAGUUUUAUAUAAAUUAAACAUUUCGUGAUGAUGAGCAAAACACACAUCAAAUUAAAACAUGCAACAAUAUUAAUUAAACAGAGGAAAGUUGUAAAUUGGUGUUGGCAUGCAUCUUCACUUUCAUUUAUUUUUAUGAAACUGCAUUAUUAAUGUUUCUUUUAAAAAUGAAUGAUGAAAUAGCAUUUUGUCAUUAAAAUAUGUGUGUCAAGCCUGCUGUCGUCAAAGAAGGUGAUUAUGCCACUGUUAUCAGAAACAAGCUGAGCCUGGAAGAGGCUUGUUUUGUCAGCUUCAUGUUUUGUUUUGUUUGUUUUUUUGAAUUAGCAGUAUGUAAUACUCAGAAAAAGGUGUUUUGUAUUUAUAUUUUUUGGCCUUUCAUUUGGUUGAAGUUGAAUAGCUUUUCUUAAAGAAUUA